UACGGAAGGUGCGAGCGUUAUCCGGUUUUAUUGGGUUUAAAGGGUGCGUAGGCGGCAUACUAAGUCAGUUGUGAAAUCCUAGUGCUUAACACUAGAACUGCGAUUGAUACUGGUAUGCUUGAGUCAAGAAGAGGUAAGUAGAAUUUAUGGUGUAGUAGUGAAAUGCUUAGAUAUCAUAAGGAAUACCAAUAGCGAAGGCAGCUUACUGGUCUUGAACUGACGCUGAGGCACGAAAGCGUGGGGAGCAAACAGG
rnacentral:rRNA from 1 species